rnacentral:piRNA from 1 species
UUCUGAUUUAGUCACAAGUUUACGAUGG